rnacentral:sRNA from 1 species
GUAAUUACAAAAGAUUCAUUGAAUUCAUCCCGCCCUAUCUCCAAACCAGCGGAAACCCCGACUCAAAUACAGGAAAUGUUUGAUGAAGUUUCCUAUAACAAGGGAGCUUGUAUUUUGAAUAUGCUCAAGGAUUUUCUGGGUGAGGAGAAAUUCCAGAAAGGAAUAAUUCAGUACUUAAAGAAGUUCAGCUAUAGAAAUGCUAAGAAUGAUGACUUGUGGAGCAGUCUGUCAAAUAGUUGUUUAGAAAGUGAUUUUACAUCUGGUGGAGUUUGUCAUUCGGAUCCCAAGAUGACAAGUAACAUGCUCACCUUUCUGGGGGAGAAUGCAGAGGUCAAAGAGAUGAUGACUACAUGGACUCUCCAGAAAGGAAUCCCCCUGCUGGUGGUUAAACAAGACGGGUGUUCACUCCGACUGCAACAGGAGCGCUUCCUCCAGGGGGUUUUCCAGGAGGACCCUGAAUGGAGGGCCCUGCAGGAGAGGUACCUGUGGCAUAUCCCAUUGACCUACUCCACGAGUUCCUCUAAUGUGAUCCACAGACACAUUCUAAAAUCAAAGACAGAUACUCUGGAUUUACCUGAAAAGACCAGUUGGGUGAAAUUUAAUGUGGACUCAAAUGGUUACUACAUCGUUCACUAUGAGGGUCAUGGAUGGGACCAACUCAUUACACAGCUGAAUCAGAACCACACACUUCUCAGACCUAAGGACAGAGUAGGUCUGAUUCAUGAUGUGUUUCAGCUAGUUGGGGAGACUGACCCUAGAAAAAGCUCUUGACAUGACUCACUACCUUCAACAUGAAACAAGCAGCCCCGCACUUCUCGAAGGUCUGAGUUACUUGGAAUUGUUUUACCACAUGAUGGACAGAAGGAAUAUUUCAGAUAUCUCUGAAAACCUCAAGCGUUACCUUCUUCAGUAUUUUAAGCCAGUGAUUGACAGGCAAAGCUGGAGUGACGAGGGCUCAGUCUGGGACAGGAUGCUCCGCUCGGCUCUCUUGAAGCUGGCCUGUGACCUGAACCAUGCUCCUUGCAUCCAGAAAGCUACUGAACUCUUCUCUCAGUGGAUGGAAUCCAGUGGAAAAUUAAAGUAGAUCUAGACUUCUGUCCUACUCUUUGUUCUUUUCUCUUUGAUGUAAAAGUCUUUGAUCAAGCAAGACAUUAGAUCUAAAACCUUUUAGUGAGGAUAGAAAAAAAAACAUGCUGGGCAUUACAAACCCUGUUUCAUGCUCUCACAUUGUAAGUGCUAUGUAUGGAGACUAGUACAAUCUCUACCAUGAAAUGUAAUGGUGUCCAUUAUUCCUGUGCUGGCUGGGUGCAGUGGCCCACGCCUAUAAUCCCAGCACUUUGGGAGGCCAAGGAGGGUGAAUCACUGAGGUCAGGAGUUCAAGACCAGCCUGACCAGCAUAGUGAAGCCCUGUCUGUACUAAAAAUGCAAAAAUUAGCCAAGUGUGGUGGUGCAUGCUUGUAAUCCCAGCUACUUGGGAGGCUGAGGUGGGAGAAUUGCUUGAACCUGGGAAGCAGUGUUGCCGUGAGCCGAGAUCACUUCACUGCACUGCAGUCUGGGCAACAGAGAAAGGCCUUGUCUCAAAAGCAAACAAACAAACAAACAAAA